AGGGGAAAAUAUCAACUCCAAAAUUGAGGAACAAAUAAACAACAUGAAAAACCUUCAGCAGUUUGUAUUUGAGAUUGCAAGAUGGAGGCAGUUUGGCAGAAAAUUGUACUACUUUUCCGAGAUUUCAUACACCUGGGAGAAGGCAAGAGAGCAGUGUGUAGCCAUGGGCGCUACUCUCGCUAUGGUGAAAACAAGGGAAGAGAUGGAAUUCCUCACAAAAGUAAAUACUGGAAGUUACUGGCUGGGACUGAGUGACAUUGGCGCUGAGGGAACCUGGAAGUGGUUGGAUGGUACUUUUCCUGACAAAGAGCUGUGGGCUCCAGAUCAGCCAGAUAAUUACUGGGGGGAAGACUGUGGCGAGACGCACGGGCAGCUGAAUGAUCUUCAAUGUAACUCAGAGAUACGGUGGAUCUGUGAAAAGAGUUUAGUAAUAUAGGAUUCCCAGCAUGCAUGUCACUGUAUGAAAUGCAAACUGAAUGGAACUCCCAGCAUUCUUUCCUUCUACUUUUCACAAUGCAGACUACAGAUAAGCUUGCAUAGUGUAGAGUUGGAAGAGGACCAUUCACAGGUUAUGACAUGUAGUCUUACGGGCACCCUGAUAAACCAGCAGGGGACACUGGUGAGUGAUAAAACAUGAACCCCUAAGCAACUGAAUCCUUCUAUAUUCCUAGGCAAUGCAAUCACCAAUUGUGCAUCUCCCUAUGGAGCCAAAGGCCAGAUACAGAACGGAAAAUCAUGAUGAACUUGUCAACAUGCGCAUAUUUAUAAAAGCAUUUACUCCAUGUUUGUCCCAUCUAUCACUGGGAAUCAAUCAUGCCUCUCAAUCAAUCAGUAAAAUGCAUUAUAAGAACCUAAUUUCACUGCUACAGCAUCCCCCAUCAAGAGAGCCGAAAAGUGCAUUCUACCAGCCACUGCUUUCAGUUACUCUGCAAUCCAUCAGCAAAGGUUUGCAAUCGUUGCAUUUGUUUCCUUCUUAUGUGCAAAAACUGCGACAAUCCCACCAAUGAAACCCCACCCUCUGCCUCCCUCCCUGGGAGAAGCUACAGCUAGGAAUUGAGACCAGAUCAUCACUGCAGUGAAACUCAGUGACCUGCAUUCAAUCAAUUUUUUCAAAUUCAAAUCAAUUCCUUUACAGAUACAAUUUCAUGUUAGACACCAGCUUGUCAAAAAAGGGAACACAUACAAUUACCUUUUGUCAUAGAUGUCAUGAUUUCUCCAUCAGGCCACGACUACCCCAGACGUGAAUUAGUCAAUGUCCAUUCAUUCAUAUUUUGCAUUUUCAUGUGUAGUAUCGACAGAUCUGUGGGAUUGUUUAACUGCUGUUUAAAUCACUGCAUUGCUGUUUUACAUUGAUUAAAGCAUUUUA